GCCCCCAUCGUCUAGCGGCCCAGGACGCCACCCUUUCAAGGUGGAGAUCGCGGGUUCGAAUCCCGCUGGGGGUACCA
rnacentral:tRNA from 2 species